rnacentral:rRNA from 1 species
GAUGAACGCUAGCGGGAGGCCUAACACAUGCAAGCCGAGCGGUAUUGUUUCUUCGGAAAUGAGAGAGCGGCGUACGGGUGCGGAACACGUGUGCAACCUGCCUUUAUCUGGGGGAUAGCCUUUCGAAAGGAAGAUUAAUACUCCAUAAUAUAUUGAUUGGCAUCAAUUAAUAUUGAAAGCUCCGGCGGAUAGAGAUGGGCACGCGCAAGAUUAGCUAGUUGGUGAGGUAACGGCUCACCAAGGCGAUGAUCUUUAGGGGGCCUGAGAGGGUGAUCCCCCACACUGGUACUGAGACACGGACCAGACUCCUACGGGAGACAGCAGUGAGGAAUAUUGGUCAAUGGGUGCAAGCCUGAACCAGCCAUCCCGCGUGAAGGACGACUGCCCUAUGGGUUGUAAACUUCUUUUGUAUAGGGAUAAACCUACCCUCGUGAGGGUAGCUGAAGGUACUAUACGAAUAAGCACCGGCUAACUCCGUGCCAGCCGCCGCCGUAAAAC